rnacentral:rRNA from 1 species
AGAGUUUGAUCCUGGCUCAGAACGAACGCUGGCGGCAGGCUUAACACAUGCAAGUCGAGCGCCCCGCAAGGGGAGCGGCAGACGGGUGAGUAACGCGUGGGAACAUGCCCUUCGGUUCGGAAUAACUCAGGGAAACUUGAGCUAAUACCGAGUACGCCCUAACGGGGAAAGAUUUAUCGCCGAAGGAUUGGCCCGCGUCCGAUUAGCUAGUUGGUGAGGUAACGGCUCACCAAGGCGACGAUCGGUAGCUGGUCUGAGAGGAUGAUCAGCCACACUGGGACUGAGACACGGCCCAGACUCCUACGGGAGGCAGCAGUGGGGAAUAUUGGACAAUGGGCGCAAGCCUGAUCCAGCCAUGCCGCGUGAGUGAUGAAGGCCCUAGGGUUGUAAAGCUCUUUCGGCGGGGACGAUAAUGACGGUACCCGCAGAAGAAGCCCCGGCUAACUUCGUGCCAGCCGCCGCGGUAAUUC